AGUAGUACGUUCGCAAGAAUGAAACUCAAAGGAAUUGACGGGGGCCCGCACAAGCGGUGGAGCAUGUGGUUUAAAUUCGAAGCAACGCGACGAACCUUACCAGGUCUUGACAUACUCAUAAAGGAUACAGAGAUGGAUAGAUAGUUAUAUGAGAUACAGGUGGUGCAUGGUUGUCGUCAGCUCGUGUCGUGAGAUGUUGGGUUAAGUCCCGCAACGAGCGCAACCCUUGUCGUUAGUUACCAUCAUUAAGUUGGGGACUCUAGCGAGACUGCCAGUGACAAGCUGGAGGAAGGCGGGGAUGACGUCAAAUCAUCAUGCCCCUUAUGACCUGGGCUACACACGUGCUACAAUGGAUGGUGCAGAGGGAAGCGAAGCCGCGAGGCGAAGCAAAACCCAUAAAACCAUUCUCAGUUCGGAUUGUUGUUUGAGGCUCGACUACAUGAAGUUGGAAUCGCUAGUAA
rnacentral:rRNA from 1 species